rnacentral:rRNA from 1 species
CAGCCGCCGCGGUAAUACGAAGGGGGCUAGCGUUGUUCGGAAUUACUGGGCGUAAAGGGCGCGUAGGCGGCCAUUCAAGUUAGAUGUGAAAGCCCUGGGCUUAACCCAGGAGGUGCGUUUCAUACUGGAAGACUUGAGUACGAGAGAGGAAAGUGGAAUUCCUAGUGUAGAGGUGAAAUUCGUAGAUAUUAGGAAGAACACCAGUGGCGAAGGCGACUUUCUGGCUCGUAACUGACGCUGAGGCGCGAAAGCGUGGGGAGCAAACAGGAUUAGAUACCCCUGUAGUCCCUGUCUCUUAUAC